rnacentral:rRNA from 1 species
AGAGUUUGAUCAUGGCUCAGGAUGAACGCUGGCGGCGUGCUUAACACAUGCAAGUCGAACGGAGUUGAUCGGAGGAAGUUUUCGGAUGGAAUCGGAUUGACUUAGUGGCGGACGGGUGAGUAACGCGUGGGUAACCUGCCUCACACUGGGGGAUAACAGAUAGAAAUAUCUGCUAAAACCGCAUAAGCGCACGGGGUCGCAUGGCCAUGUGUGAAAAACUCCGG